rnacentral:rRNA from 1 species
UACGGGGGGGGCAAGCGUUGUUCGGAAUUACUGGGCGUAAAGGGCUCGUAGGUGGCCAACUAAGUCAGACGUGAAAUCCCUCAGCUUAACUGGGGAACUGCGUCUGAUACUGGAUGGCUUGAGUUUGGGAGAGGGAUGCGGAAUUCCAGGUGUAGCGGUGAAAUGCGUAGAUAUCAGGAGGAACACCGGUGGCGAAGGCGGUGGUCUGGGCCGGCACUGACGCUGAGGAGCGAAAGCGUGGGGAGCAAACAGG